rnacentral:misc_RNA from 1 species
GCCUGCUCAACUAAGGAAAACACUUGAGAAACCAGAGGAAAAUAUUCUAGAGGGCCAAAGGUCAAAAUCCUUCAAGCAAAAGAGAGAGGAAGAGAGAAAAUCAUCCGAAGCUAGUGGCAAUACAAGAGCAUGGAAUAGUUUAUUCAUGCGCCCUGAUACAGUUGUUGAAAAUAUUGCUAGAAAAUAUGGUGUCAGUAAGGGUGAGUUACUGGACGGGGAGGCCGAU